rnacentral:sRNA from 1 species
UUAACGACAAGGGUUACGUAGAAUACAAGAUUGCCAUGGAGUACGCAUUUGGAGGAAGCUUGAGCGAUUUCAUGGACCGAUUCAAAGACAGAAAAUUGUCUGAUUCGAUGAUCAGAGAGUUUACUCGUAUGCUUCUCGAGGGUUUAGCCACGAUUCACAGACACGGCUAUGUUCACUGCGAUCUCAAACCCGAAAACAUCCUUGUUUUCCCUAGUUCUGUCUACAAGAACGGCGCGUGGAUCAGAUCCUACGAAUUGAAGAUUUCUGAUUUCGGGAUGUCGAAAAGAGAUGGAGACACUCAGUGGUGGCAACCUCGCAAACCAUAUGUGGGAACACCGAUCUAUAUGUCGCCUGAGUCGAUCUCUCACGGGGAGAUAGGGAAAGGACUUGAUUUAUGGUCGUUGGGAUGUGUGGUGUUGGAGAUGUACACUAGAAAGAAGCCAUGGUGGCAUACUAACUAUGAAUUAGAAGAGCUCAUGAAGUGUUAUGAGCCGUUGUUUCCGCGUAAUCUUCCUUGCGAUGCAAAACUCUUUCUCAUGACCUGCUUUGCGUCCGAACCAGAUGAGAGGAAAGAUGCGUUGACAUUGUUGAGGCAAAGCUUCUUGCAUGGAGAUGUCAAUAAGUUCACAAACCGUCAGAUGAAUGUGAAGAUUGACAGUGCGGAUGAUUUUACCCUGCAACUGGAGAAAGUUAGCCAGAUGCUUUCGGAAAUUAGGACUAUGUGUUAAUUUGAAGUUGAUGAGCUCUGCAGAGAGCCCUGGUCCACAGUAAUAUUGAUUAAUUCACAUUUUCUAAUUAGCAGAAUUAUGUAAUAGUUUUUGGUAUAUCAUUGACUCUUAUAAUAGUUGGUUUGAAUGUAUAUGAACAAAUUUAUCUGUGCACCUUUUAUAACUUCAAGCUUUUUUUUU